rnacentral:rRNA from 1 species
UCCGUUCCCAUCCCGAACACGGUAGUUAAGCUUCUCUGCGCCAAUGGUAGUUGGGGGCUUCCCCCUGCGAGAGUAGGUCGCUGCCGGGC